AGUGCCCUCCUCCCAAAUGAUAGUUGGACAAUAAAGGCUUCUGCUCUGGAGUAGAGCACAAGGCUGAUAAAAUGCUCCAGGACACGAAGUACGGCACCAGGUCAUAACAAAGAGGACUAUGCACCCCCAAAACCUCCGGGUCCCAGAGGUAAAGAGGAGUGACUCCUAGUGAAGGCAUUUAAGGUAAAGGUCCAACGAACAAGCUCUGCCCCUGCCCGUCUGUGCCGGUUUGGUGACAGCCCUGCAGCCAUACCAAUCGUCUUCCUAAGUAGAGCACUCCUUGCACCUACGACCAGUAAAACACAUCAUGGAAAGGACGUCCUGGUGUUAGAGCUUGCGCAGCGCAGCCCGCAUGACCCCAGGUGCUUAGUGUCCCUACAGCCUGAUCGAGGUCCCCGAGGCACAGACGGGAUUUGCGCUUUUCCUUGGCCAUGCUUUCAGCCUCUCCGUUUCAGCUGUGGUAACUCAACCGCCCCUGGAUCUGCCUCAGUUGCUUAGGCUGCUGACGGUGGUGGGUGAGCCUGAAGUAAGUCACGGUGGGGGUUUUGCCCCCACCUUUGCUGCCCACAGAGCAGAACAAACUCGCUAGAUGCGGGUUUGGAAGAGCGUGCCUUGGUUUGGGAAGUGGGACUGAAGGUGUGCGUGAAAGCCUGCGCUAACACGAAGGCACUCUGUAGCUGCCAGUGGUGGGCUUACACGUCCCGGUUUCCCCUGCUGUCCUGCUCCGUCUUCCAGCCUCGCAAAGGUGUUUUGGGUUUUUGCUCUUUAUCUCAGAAGUUCACUGCAGUUGCACACCUCAGUACUGGCAUCUCAAAGGGCAGGGCUGCUGCUCCCCAGACUUCUGCAAACGCGAAUGCGGCUUGGCAGUAACCAGCGCCGACGCCAUGCCCUCUUCUCUCAUGCCUGUGCCGAGCUCUCCCGAGGGCUGAGCGGGAAUCACCUCAGGCUACCGUGCCCUGGGCAGACCGAGCCGAUGCCGGGGGCUGCGGUCCUCAGGAGGCUCUGCCCGCCGGCGUGAAGCUCCACGGAGCUCUGCUGCCCUCCUGUGCCCACUGACCACCCGCCACCGGCAGCAGGACGGGGAGCCCGCGGCGGCGGCAGCUUUCGGCGGGCACCGGCGCCGUGCUCAGCAGUAGCCAGGCAAGGUGCCGGUCUGCAUCGCUUGCUUUUCUGGAGCUACAGGGGGAAGAA